CCCAAAAAUUCCUGACAGCAUUAAUAUAAGGAGAUGAUGUGCCACUACAGGAAAAAUGUGGCCAAUGAAAUUUUGCUGGCAUCAGUGUGAAGAGAGGAGUACUGCUCUGUGUGUGGAGAAAAAGAAAGAGCCCAAACAGAGGAGCAAUGCAUCUGGAUUCAAUGUGAAUUAUGCCAGAGGUAGUUUCAUGUUCAGUGCCUCAACAUUAAUCUGCUACCAGAAGAACAAGCAUGGAUUUGUGAUGUGUGUUUGUAAGCUAUUUAGUUAGAGGAGCUGAUGCUGAAAGUGUGUUUCAAUUGUAAGAAAAUUGUUUUGCACUGAUAAGGGACAACGCAAACUAUGAAAACAUAUUUGAUUACAUAAACAGUUUAUACAUAGAAAAUAAUUAAAUUUUCGAUUCAUCAAAAUAUCCACCAUUAGCAGCUGAAAACCUGGGCCAAGUUUAAACCAGUAACCAGGCAUCACAGCUGGCAAAGGGGCAUGUCUGACUUUGACAUGUAUAUAUUGCCAUUAUUAUGUAAUCAAAAUGAAAAUUAUUAUUGCUGGUCUUCAAUGAUAAUGUCAAGUUACUUUAAUGUACUGUAUUUGCACCAAAAAAAAUAAGGAUUUAUGCUGAUGUCAUCCAAAACCACACUUUGCCAGGGGUGUUUCCAAACGUUUGGAGGACAGUGUAUGUGUGUAUUUUUAUUCUCAUCCUAUUUUUUAUUGUCUGUGUGUUGUCUCUGCUGGAAGCCUGUGACACUAAAACAAAUUCCUUGUAUGAGCAAGAAUACUUGGCAAUAAAGCUCUUUCUGAUUCUGAUUCUGAGAAAUGUGUAUUGCCUAUUUGAUAUGUCAUGGAAAUAAUUUUUUUUUUUUUUAGUAUUCUGUUUAUGUUUCAUAUUGUUGUGGUGCUCGUUGUCUUCUGCUGGCCCUUUAUGUGAAUGUAGUUUUUAAAAACACACUUGCAUUUGUGAGGGAGAAAUA